rnacentral:rRNA from 1 species
CCAGCACCCGCGGUAAUUCCAGCUCCAAUAGCGUAUAUUUAAGUUGUUGCAGUUAAAAAGCUCGUAGUUGGAUUUCGGGUGGGUUCUAGCGGUCCGCCUAUGGUGAGUACUGCUAUGGCCUAUCUUUCUGUCGGGGACGGGCUUCUGGGCUUCACUGUCCGGGACUCGGAUUCGACGUGGUUACUUUGAGUAAAUUAGAGUGUUCAAAGCAGGCUUACGCCUUGAAUACUUUAGCAUGGAAUAACACGAUAGGACUCUGGCCUAUCUUGUUGGUCUGUAGGACUGGAGUAAUGAUUAAGAGGGACAGUCGGGGGCAUUCGUAUUUCAUUGUCAGAGGUGAAAUUCUUGGAUUUAUGAAAGACGAACUACUGCGAAAGCAUUUGCCAAGGAUGUUUUCA